rnacentral:rRNA from 1 species
GGGCGGCACUAGCGCGGUGGUCCCACCUGACCCCAUGCCGAACUCAGAAGUGAAACGCCGUAGCGCCGAUGGUAGUGUGGGGUCUCCCCAUGCGAGAGUAGGGAACUGCCAGGCA